rnacentral:lncRNA from 1 species
GCCUUGAGCAGCAUAGGUGAGCGGAUCCUGCUGGGCUCAUGGACCAGGCCACAUGGGGUCACUGAGGGUCAGCCUUCAGGACAGGAGGGAUUCCUCAGGGAGACAACCUGAAUCCCCACUGGUGAGGGAUUGGUGUCCCUCCGUUUGGGGUCCCUGACUUCCCUCAACACUGGUCUCUUCCACUGAGCCUUGUGAGCUCUUCCACCAAGGAGGGCCCCCUGGCAUUGACUGGCAUAGUGAGCUCUUCCCCCCAGCAGACCCCUGGGAUUGACGAGCAUAGAUGGUGACUGUGGAAGAAGACUUGCUUUGGGACCGCUGGCCCCAGGCCAGUGGUUGUCAUCCAGGUGCCCAGCCCUUGGUGCACUUGAGCUCAAGCCCUUCCUGGUGCCCUGGCCUCCUGCCCUAAGCUGUGCGAGCUCUUCUGCCCAGGGGGACCCCUGGCCUUAAGUGGGAUAGAUGGUGACCCCAGAGGAAGACGUGCAUUGGGUCCGCUGGCCCCAGGCCAGUGUCUCUCAGCCAUGUGCUCAACACCUGGUGAGCUGAAGCUCAGGCCCUUCCUGGCAUCCUGGUCUCCUGCACUGAGCUGUGGGUUCGGUGGCUGAGAGAGCUUUUGUUGCCCUG